GCGCCUGUGGUGGAAUUGGCAGACACGCUAGAUUUAGGAUCUAGUGCGAGAGCGUGGGGGUUCAAAUCCCUCCAGGCGCACCA
rnacentral:tRNA from 1 species